rnacentral:rRNA from 1 species
CCUACGGGAGACAGCAGGAGGGAAUAUUGCGCAAUGGGGGAAAGCCGGAAGCAGCAACGCCGCGUGGAGGAUGAAGGUUUUCGGAUUGUAAACUCCUUUUGUUAGAGAAGAGAAUUACGGUAUCUAACGAAUAUUCACCGGCUAACUCCGUGCCAGCAGCCGCGGUAAUACGGAGGGCGCAAGCGUUAUUCGGAAGCACUGGGCGUAAAGGGCGCGUAGGCGGGAUAGCAAGUCAGAUGUGAAAUCCUAUGGCUUAACCAUAGAACUGCAUUUGAAACUGUUAUUCUGGAGUAUGGGAGAGGUAGGUGGAAUUCUUGGUGUAGGGGUGAAAUCCGUAGAGAUCAGGAGGAAUACUCAUUGCGAAGGCGGCUUGCUAGACCAUAACUGACGCUGAUGCGCGAAAGCGUGGGGAGCAAACAGGAUUAGAUACCCGGGUAGUC